UCCAAUUUAGCAGGUUCCAACCUGGCCAGAGAGGACAGCCAGCAAGGAUCACGGACCUGCCAGUGACCACAGCUGACUGCCUGUAGCAGGGAGCUUCAGCUUACCAGCUCGCCUCCUCCAAGAUGGCCACCAGAUGCAGGGGGAGAUGUGAUGCAGCCUGAGGAGAAGCCUCUUCCCGGCUGCCCAGCGCCUUGGUGCCGCCAAGUAGGGACCCAACAGUGAGAAGCCGUGGAGGAUCAGGAGAGCGGCGUCUCACGUGAUGCGGUCAGAACCCAAAGCACUCCAGCAAAGUAUAGAAACGGGUGCGAGCAAUGUUCAAACUGGCUCCAAAGCAGGCUCAAAUGGCACACCCCACCAUUAUGCAGGUCUUGCGGAGUAUCCUUCCCAAGUUGCGUGGAUGUGAAGGGACACGACUGUUCCCCUGAUGUACCAUGGGCGACCUACUUAUGAUGUGGACCUGGACCUCCGCCAUGUAGCAGACAACCCCCCUCAGGUCUUGCGGAGUAUCCUUCCCAAGUUGCUUGAAUCAUUCAUCAUGGAUGAAAAGGGACACGACAGUUCUCCUGCUGUACCAUGGGCGACCUAACACAAUACCACUGCAUCUCAUAUAUUACAUUUUAUUUACUAAUAAUUUAAAGAAAAACACAAAACUUCUCAUUUUAAAAAUUUAUUGAAGAAAUAUAAAUA